GACGAACGCUGGCGGCGUGCUUAACACAUGCAAGUCGAACGGAAAGGCCCUGCUUUUGUGGGGUGCUCGAGUGGCGAACGGGUGAGUAACACGUGAGUAACCUGCCCUUGACUUUGGGAUAACUUCAGGAAACUGGGGCUAAUACCGGAUAGGAGCUCCUGCUGCAUGGUGGGGGUUGGAAAGUUUCGGCGGUUGGGGAUGGACUCGCGGCUUAUCAGCUUGUUGGUGGGGUAGUGGCUUACCAAGGCUUUGACGGGUAGCCGGCCUGAGAGGGUGACCGGCCACAUUGGGACUGAGAUACGGCCCAGACUCAUACGGGAGGAAGCAGUGGGGAAUAUUGCACAAUGGGCGGAAGCCUGAUGCAGCAACGCCGCGUGCGGGAUGACGGCCUUCGGGUUGUAAACCGCUUUCGCCUGUGACGAAGCGUGAGUGACGGUAAUGGGUAAAGAAGCACCGGCUAACUACGU
rnacentral:rRNA from 1 species